rnacentral:lncRNA from 1 species
GUGCCGGGCGGGAGGCAGUAGCGAAAGAAGAAGAAGAAGAAGAAGAAGAAGAAGAAGAAGAGAAAGAGAAAAAGAAGUUGAAAAGAAAUGGUGCAAAAUUUUUCUAAAUAGUGCAAUGUUAGCCUUAAGAGUGUAAAAUCCAUUCCAAAAGAGUGUAAUUUCUAUAUCAAAUAAUGCAAUUUUUAUUAAAACAAUGCAAAUUUAUUUUAAAAUAGUGUAAUGUUAUUUUAACAGUACAAUUUCAUCAUCUCCUUCCUUCUUAUACAAUGUUUUUUCUUUAUUUUUUUCUUCUUCCUCUUCUGUAAUUUUUUUUUGUCACGCCUCUCCGCCAACGGCCACGGCGCUGGCGACGACGCCGCUAAAAACCCCCCGCUUUGAGGCUACGGCGCCGCAGCGACCUCCGCGGCGCCGAUGUCGGCAGAGAGGCGUCGUCGUUGGAGGCGGCGGAGGAGACGAAGGAGGAGGGAGAGGGAAAGGACGAGAAGGCCGAGAAGGGCGAGAGAGGGUGAGAUAGGCGUUGUCAUCGGAGGCGGUGGAGGAGGGUCGGAGAGGGGAAAAAAAAAAGUCGUAGCGCGGCCUCGGCGGGGUGGGAGGCAAGGAAACUAGGGGGUGCGCAGGCGAGGGUAAGGAUGCACCGGACAAAACCGAAGCGGGCCGCCUCCGCCUCCACCUCUGCCUCUGCCGCUCUCUGAGAAGAGAAAGAAAAAAAGAACGAGAGAAAAAAAAAAAGAGGAGAGAAAAAAAGGUACAAAGGUAUUUUGGUCAGUUUGCUGAAAAAUCGGACUAAAUCUACAAAAACGAAAGGUGGCCCACUUUUGCAAAAGCCCAAAACUAGUCGAUUUUUUAU